GGGGUAUUCCAGAAAGCAGGUUAUGCUAGCUCCCACGGUUCCGGGCAUGUCCCACUGGCCAGAGGCCUCUUUGUCUCUCGGUUGGGCUCGGGGUCCCCCCAGAGGGAGGUCUGGGCAUCUUCGCUUACACUGCUGCCCCCGCAACCCGGUCCUGGACGAGUGGAAGAACGUACUUGGAACAGAGGAGACACAACUGCAGCUUCUGAGUUUACAGACAGAGAAAAGAAUGCCAAGAAAAGAAGAUUGUCCCCGCUCUGACACAAGGUGGAGGCUUAGCAUGAUCAGGGUGUCUUUAAUCUGUGCUGCUUCAGUGACAUUUGAGGACUGGUAUGUACCCCAAACACAAACAACUAAGACGCAAAAACAUAACUAAAGAAAAAAUGGAACUGCGGCUGAACAUCUGCAUGUGCAGGACCUGAAGCACGCCGCCUAGAGAGGACACUUUCAACUCCAGUUGAAGCGGUCUGAUCACGAGAAGUGGACCAAAAUAUCUGCGGAAAUAUCUAGAUUCAUUUGUUUUUCAAAUGAUUCUGUUAAACAACAAUUCUAAUACGACUAAAUCUGUUUUCUGCAGCUGCUGAUGUUAUCAUUUUACACCAGAAUUGGAGAAGUAAAACUUCAGUCACUGACAGGAAGCAGCUGCACUAUAA